AUGACCUGAGCCAAAAUCAAGAGUCUAACCCUCAGCCAACUGAGCCACUCAGGCGCUUCUGUUACGACUUAGAAACCUACAUGGACACACCAUCACUGCUGAGAGCCCAUAGCGUAUGUCAGGGCUUGCUCUCCGUGCGGUAGGAGAUUUUCUCCUACGUGAUCUCCUAGGAGUUCUAUAGUUUUGCAUCUUACACUUAGGUCCGUGAUCCAUUUCGAGUUAAUGUUUGUGAAAGGUGAGAAGUCUGUGUCCAGAUUCACUUUUUUUUUUGCAUGCGGACGUCCAGUUUUUCCGGCAUCAUUUGUUGACGAGGCCAUCUUUGCUCCAUUGGGUUGCCUUUGCUCUUUUGUCAAAGCGCCAACACCAAAGGCAAUACUCAGCACAGAGCAGAGAUCCAACAACUGUUUGAUACAAGAAUGAAUGAGGAAGCACUCAAGAUGAGUAAGAACAAUGUUAACAGCUAAAGAAGAGAAUACUUUUUCUGGAAUGGUAAAGAUGGAUGGGAAAGAUGAGAUGAUGAAGCCUCAUCAUUUAAGACAAAGAACAUACCAGGGCGCCUGGAGGGCCCAGUUGGUUAAGCAUCUGACUUCGGCUCAGGUCAUGGUCUCAUGUGUUCCUGCGGAUCUCAGUGGACCGGCGCUGGUGAUCACCCUCCGUGACACACAGCUUGUGACCCUGCUCUGAAGUGACUAUUCCUGCAGCUUCCCAGGGGGCUUCCCAUGCACAGGUCUGAGCCCUUACCUGGUGCUCACCUCUCAUGAGAGGACCUAGUCCUUCCCCGUGCUUGACCACUGGAUGAGUCACGUGGUGACAUCACCCACUGAGGGACAAAGCACCAGCGCGCCAUAUUCUUUUCAGGGCACUCGACUGUGGAUUCGCCUUGGUUGUUUUUGAACAAAAUGAAAGUGGAUUGAAAAGAAUAAUUGUUACGAGUGGCCUAGAGGCUGUAAAAUUCAUCUAUUUCUCUGCAUGUGCUAAUUUAUGUUCCAGUAAGCAGGGUGAAGGGUGAGCUUAAAUGUGGACCACAUUAUUUUGGCCCCAUGGAGAUCUGCUUUUCCUGGAAUGCAAUUUUGCAUUAUCGCCAUCACCUGAUUUGGGGAAUGUUUUAAGAAACAACCCCAUGAAAACAAAGCAGAUUCACCCAACGACAAGAAAGAAGAGAAGAGAGGAGAGGAGAGGAGAGG